CUUCUUUUAUUUGGGACGAAAAACGGGGAUUCUUCCUCACUUGACGGUACCAGAUGAAUAAGCACCGGCUAACUCCGUGCCAGCAGCCGCGGUAAUACGGAGGGUGCAAGCGUUAUCCGGAUUCACUGGGUUUAAAGGGUGCGUAGGCGGGCUGUUAAGUCAGUGGUGAAAUCUUUGGGCUUAACCCGAAAACUGCCAUUGAUACUAUCAGUCUUGAAUAUUGUGGAGGUCUGCGGAAUAUGUCAUGUAGCGGUGAAAUGCUUAGAUAUGACAUAGAACACCAAUUGCGAAGGCAGCAGGCUACGCAUAUAUUGACGCUGAGGCACGAAAGCGU
rnacentral:rRNA from 1 species